GCAAACUUGGUCAUUUAGAGGAAGUAAAAGUCGUAACAAGGUUUCCGUAGGUGAACCUGCGGAAGGAUCAUUACCGAGUUAGGGUUGUUCCAACAGCCCGACCUCCCAACCCCGUGUCUACCGUACCUUGUCGUUGCUUCGGCGGACCGGUCGCGACCUGUCGGUCCCGACCGCCGGGGCCCCCGCCGCCCUGGAGAGCGUCCGCCGAUGGCCCAACCACGCAAACUCUGGUACCGAAACGUGUCGUCUGAAUUACUUGAUGAAUCAAUCAAAGCAAAACUUUCAACAACGGAUCUCUUGGUUCUGGCAUCGAUGAAGAACGCAGC
rnacentral:misc_RNA from 1 species